CACGUAGGGCGCAAGCGUUGUCCGGAAUUAUUGGGCGUAAAGAGCUCGUAGGCGGUCUGUUACGUCUGCUGUGAAAGUCCAGGGCUCAACCCUGGAAUGCCGGUGGAUACUGCCGGGCUAGAGUCCGGAAGAGGCGAGUGGAAUUCCUGGUGUAGCGGUGAAAUGCGCAGAUAUCAGGAGGAACACCGAUGGCGAAGGCAGCUCGCUGGGACGGUACUGACGCUGAGACGCGAAAGCGUGGGGAGCAAACAGG
rnacentral:rRNA from 1 species